UAAUCCAACCACCCUUUUAUACUAUCUUGCAAACUAUGUAUACUUGUACUGCACGCUUGUUAGAGGAAGCCAAGCCACAACCUUCCUUCCCCGAGCUCUCUUUCUCAAGUCUCAGAACUCGAAGAGCAUCGAAGCAAUGACAGAGAAGGUCUCCACCUUGAUCAUAGAAGCAGAUAUCGGAUGCUCAUGUUGUUACAAAAAGAUCCAAAAGGUUCUUUGCAAGCUCCAAGUUCGAGAGAGAAUCAAGUCCAUCAAUUACAACGAGAAGGAUAACAAGGUCACCAUCUCCGGCCCCUUCAAUCCCGAGUGUCUUAAGAAGAAGCUGCUUUGCAAGCUGUGCAAAGUGGUGACAAGUAUCAAGAUCAAGCCGGAUGACCCACCGCCGCCCCCGCCGAAACCCAUAAAGGAACCCAAAGAGCCUGUCAAGAUUAUCUGCUGCUUCAAGCCGUGGCCAGACUGCUGCUUCCGGCCAUGCCCUUGUUUCGAGCCAAGCAAAGGCUGUCGCCGGUGCUGCUCCUGUGGUUGGAUGUGCUGCUUUGUCGCGCCAUUCUGCGCUCCGGAGCCCAAGCCUAGCCCGCCGAAGGAAACGAAACUUGUUUGCUGCGGCAAGCCAUGGCCGUCCUGCUGCUACAAGCCCUGCCCUUGCUUUGAGCAAACCCAUGGCUGCCGCCGGUGCUGCUCCUGUGGUUGGAUGUGCUGCGUUCGAGGGCCGGUCUGUGUUCCACUGCCCAACCCCUGCCCGUCGUAUUGCCCUCCCAGGGCUUGCCCAUCGGAGCACUGCUGCUCCAAGCCAAGCCCACCGCCGAAUCCAUGUUUCCAUGGCUACAAGUUUGUCUACGAGGAGGGGCCGCCGCCAGAUCCAUGCACCAUUAUGUAAUCUUUAAUCGACCUCUCGUCUGUACUUUGGUUCCAAUUCCCGUACUUUCUUUCGGCCGCUGAAGAGUAGUGCAAGCGACGAAAGACGUAAAUAAGAUCGUAAUGCCGACGAGAUCAUCCCAUCCGAUCUUGUGGAUUAUGAUGGUGAAAGAGAGAUCCAAGAAGCUUGGUUUUCGAUGUGUUUACUUGAGUGGAAGUUUGUGUUUCGAUUUGUGUCA